rnacentral:rRNA from 1 species
AAUCUUCCGCAAUGGACGAGAGUCUGACGGAGCAACGCGGCGCGAGAGAUGAAGGUUUNUUGAGCNUNAAACUCUGUUGCUAGGGNGGAACAAGUAUCGGAGUCACUGCCGGUACCUUGACGGUACCUGACGAGAACACCACGGCUAACUACGAUCCAGCAGCCGCGGUAAUACGUAGGUGGCAAGCGUUGUCCGGAUUUAUUGGGCGUAAAGCGCGCGCAGGCGGUCUUUUAAGUCUGAUGUGAAAGCUUACAGCUUAACAGUAAACGGUCAUUGGAAACUGGGGGGCUUGAGUGCAGAAGAGGAGAGUGGAAUUCCAUGUGUAGAGGUGAAAUGCGUAGAGAUAUGGAGGAACACCAGUGGCGAAGGCGACUCUCUGGUCUGUAACUGACGCUGAGGCGCGAAAGCGUGGGGAUCAAACA